GGAGGUUACAGCUCAAGUGGUAGAGCACAUCCUUAGCAUGCAUGAGGUCCUGGGUUCAAUCCCCAGUACCUCCU
rfam:Camelus ferus unplaced genomic scaffold scaffold1577, whole genome shotgun sequence.